rnacentral:rRNA from 1 species
GUGACGGAGCGACGCCGCGUGGGUGAUGAAGGCCUUCGGGUUGUAAAGCCCUGUUUCCCGCUAAGAAACACAGGCGGUGAAUAGCUGUCCUGUCUGACGUCAGCGGGGGAGGAAGCACCGGCUAAAUACGUGCCAGCAGCCGCGGUAAUACGUAUGGUGCGAACGUUGUUCGGAAUCAUUGGGCAUAAAGAGCACGUAGGCGGUCUGGUAAGUCCGCAUGUGAAAUCCCCCGGCUCAACCGGGGAACUGCAUCGGAUACUGCCGGACUCGAGUGCAGGAGGGGAGAGUGGAAUUCCUGGUGGAGCGGUGAAAUGCGUAGAUAUCAGGAGGAACGCCGGUGGCGAAAGCGACUCUCUGGCCUGUAACUGACGCUGAGGUGCGAAAGCCAGGGGAGCGAACGGGAUUAGAUACCCCGGUAGUCCUGGCCCUAAACGAUGGGCACUAAGUAGAGGGGUUUU